rnacentral:lncRNA from 1 species
CAGGUGCUCAGCAGCAAUUGUAUUGAACAUUGCCAAGAGUUAAGCACACCGUUAACAGCACAUAGUCUUGAUUAAGCUCCAGAGUAAUCUAAAGGGGAACAUGAAACUCCAAGCGGGGAGGUAAGUUAAUUUUCUGCUCUCUCUUGCAGAACAUUAAGAACAAAGGUUGCAUAAAUCUACAGAUGUACUAAGAUUUAAAGGUAAGCUAUUUCUUUUCUUUCUUAGUUCUUUCAUACUCAUAUUGAUUCAGUGUCCUAUAUUAUUUGCAUAUUCCAGAUCCCCUAGAGGAUGAUUGAAUUGUUCGGACAUAAGAGUAUCAACUUGAAGACCACAAAAGUUCCUCUUCUAGCUACAAUGCUCAGUUUGACUUCAUCUGAAGGCUGGAGCAGGAUUGUCCGAGACAUGUGCUUGUCAGCUAC